rnacentral:misc_RNA from 1 species
AACGGUCUAUACCUGCGGUACCUGCGGAAGGAUCAUUAUUGAAUUCAUUAUGCAAAGCUGUUGCUGACUUCGGUAUGUGCACGCUGAGCAAAAUUCAUUUCAACCACCUGUGAACCUUUUGUAGUCCUUGGGUAAUGCUACCUUUCAAAAGGAGACUUUUGGAUUUGAAUACUGCAGGUCAAAAGAUCAGCUUUAUUCUACAGCAGAGCCCGGGUCUAUUACAUUUACAAACACUGUAUG